UUUGUUUCGUGGUUUUGCUCUUUUGUUUUGUUUUGUUUUGUUUUCCCAAAUUCCCUUCCCACACUCCCCCCAUGGGACUGGAAGCCCUUGAGAACAGGAAUUUCUGUCUGGCAUUGAUGUUACGCCAGGCUCCACAUCACGGGUGCAUAGUGAAGUCUUUCAAACGGCAGUGCUGAAUGGGAAUGGUUUCUGGGCAGGGAGGACUUCUGUCUUACCUUCAAUCAAAGAGCCAUCCUUAGAGGACCAGAAACCCCAGAAAACACCUUUGUGACCCUUCAUACAACAACAAGGAAACUGGUGCUCAGAGCUGAGAGGUUCAUUGACUGGGAACCCGCAAGCAUUCCCUUGUCCCAAGUGGAGAAAUGACAUCAAGAACGUGCCCUGACUAUAAACGUCAUUUUCAACUCCUCUUUGAAGAGGAACCAGGAGGAAAGUUUAGACUUUUGAAUGUGGUGAAUUAUGACUCUACCCUAGUGAGUCAUGGCCACUCAGACUUCCCUUGUGGACCUCGGAAACCCCUCAGGCAGCCCUCAACAGUUGGCAGAGUACGAGAGAGCGAAGUGAGAGCAAGGGAGAGAAAAAAGUUUGAGAAGUUUUGCUACAUCUUCACUCAAGACUGCAAGCACACAAAGCAUCGCAGAAGGCUGGUUAUAGAAGAAGAAAAAAACACAUUCAAAACUACUUACUGACUAAUGGUGCUGGGAUUUCAGGUGUGCACCACCACACCUGGCUGAGCACUUCCUUUUCUGAAGAAAGAAGAUGAUGGGAUACUGGUCCAGGUUGGCCUAGCAGGUGUAUCUGCAGCCCUGUCGGAGAUCCUUCCCCUCUCUAGAGCUCGACCUCCACCCGUGGGACAGAAGAACUGAACCAGGCAACCUGUCUGUCCUCUGGCAGUGCUCCUGUGUUGGUUUCUUGGCCCUAAGGACUCCACAAAUAAGAUGAAUGCACCCACCAGGGGAAUCAGCAAGGGAGAGCAUGCGUGUCACGGAAGGGUUGAAGUGCUGCCCAGAGAAAAGCACUUGGCUUUUUCACCAAGAAGCCAGCUCAGAUCCAUCUCAUGAGGAGGAGCUUAGCUGCAGUGCUUGAUGCUAUUUCCAGAGUUUCACCAUGUUGUCCAACGAUGACAACAGGGAGAAAAAAAACACCAAAAAGUUGGCCAAAGACACAGAAGCCAGUAAAGAAAUGUGAGGCAAAGUCACAAUAGGUCACAAAGGCAGAGUCACAAUAGGUCACAAAGGCAGAGUCACAAUAGGUCACAAAGGCAAAGUCACAAUAGGUGAUCCAAAGGCAGAGUUCAGGACCAAUUCAUCCACCUGGUCCUAUAUGACAAACUCUGUAGACAGUGCCCAACUAUAAACCACUCCAGCUGUGCUCUCUGAGAGACUGAAGACUCCAGGUGCCCUGGCUAGAGCAGCCUUCAGGAGUGUCUUAGCAGAAGAUGCAUCAACCUGACUACAAAGCACAGAGCCCAUGUCAUUUACACCACCAACACGAAGAAUAGAGAUGUCCUAGCUACUGCCAAAGAUGCCAGAGGACGUUCAACAGACAGGAUAUUUGAAAAAGUAAAACUUUAUUAAACGAAAACCAACAAACUUUAUCAUAGAAAGGACCCACAUAGCUGGGAGCCAGAAGGGUCCCCAGUUUGCCUCUCUAGAGUCUUGGUUGCAGUUCUAGCAUGAAUCUCACUAUGACCUUGAGCAAGACUGCUCCAUUGUGGCCUCAGCUCAGACACGGAGGUACCAUAAAUUGUUCUUUGAUUAUUUUAAGUAAUCAAAUACUUUUCAUGAAAAAAUUAAAGCUUUGCAGGGAGGCUCUCUGUAUUUAAAGAUCAAGGCUGCAAUGACUUCUCUUUCCCCGAAGCCUGGCAGCUCUGCCGCUCUCCAGGAGCAUGGGGAGGGAGCCCUGAUGGGGAGCUUCCAGCAGGAUCAGUGGGGGCCUCAGACACCACUAGCAUGGCACACCUUUGAACACAGAACAAUGACAACCAAAAGUCCCUGGAAAUGGGUGAGGCGUGAUAUAAUAAAAUAUUGACUUUCUCUAGAAAAGUUCUGUUCCUGGCUCAAACUGUUCCUGUCUAAAAGGACAUUUGGUAGAGUUCUACUUCAUUAUUAAAGUACUCUGUGUUUAUUAUAGUCUACUUUUCACUUUUCUGUGCAUGAGCAUGUGCCUGUAUACUCCAGUGCACAUCGUGUGAGUACAUGUAGAAGCCAAGAGACAACCUCGGAUGUUGUUAUUUGGGGUAGGCUGGUUGCCAGCGACCUGGAGUCUGUCUUCCCCCUUCCUUCACCAUAUGGGCACCAAAGAUCAAGCAAGCACUCAGGUUGGUGGUGAGCAUCAUCACUUGGCUGAGCCAUCUCCCAGAACUCUACCCAGCUUUUAUAAAUGUGGAUUCUAAAGGACUCAAAAUUAGGUGCCUGUUCUCACAAGGAAAACCCUUUGCCCCCUGAGCCAUUUCCCCAGAUCCACUAUAGACUGUGGGGAUAACACAUAAGUAUAAAGAAGAUAUCUAUGAGGUGUGGUGCUGCAUAUCUGUAAUCCCAGCCCUUGGAAAGCUGAGGCACAAAAGACUGAAAGUUUGAGGCCAGCCUGAACUAUCAAGACCCUAUCUCAGAAGAAGAAGAAAAAAGAGAAAAGGAAAAAAAAAACACUACAUUCACAUUGGAUACAUAGUUAUACCCACAUCCCUGCUGCUGUUUCAAAACACCAUUUUCCACCAACAAGCAAGGAUUAAGCUGUGCACUCUGUUUUCAUCUCCUGCACUUUACACAGGACAAACCGUUGUAUCUGAAUGACUGUUUCAAGGCUGCCCUGGGUUCCCAGCUUCUGCACAGGAAGGACAGAAGUAGCAGAUGCCUCCUGUUGACCUCGCUGGAAGUCGGCUCUGCCUCUGCCUGACCUUACGUGCAGCUUGGUGCUCGGCACCCAGGGUACUUGACAUCGGUAGCUGGUCUCUGGAAUGGACUUGUUCAUGGAUGCUACAAGCCUAACCACAGAGUGUCAGAGCCCUGACCACCUGAGUGAAGUCUUCGGCCCUUUUCUGAUGAGUCAGCUUAAACAUUUCUUCAAAUGUAUUGAGCAUAUGUAUACAUUUGUUUCUUUGUUACAAUUCUCAAAGUAGUUGUUUCCAUUAAGCAAACAGUAUAUAAAUACAAGACAAGACCUGGGA